UACAGAGGGUGCAAGCGUUGUUCGGAAUUAUUGGGCGUAAAGCGCAUGUAGGCGGAUCCAUAAGUCGGGCGUGAAAUCCCCAGGCUCAACCUGGGAACUGCGUUCGAAACUGUGGGUCUAGAGUGUCGGAGAGGAUGGCGGAAUUCCCGGUGUAGCGGUGAAAUGCGCAGAUAUCGGGAGGAACACCUAUGGCGAAGGCAGCUCGCUGGGACGUUACUGACGCUGAGAACGCGAAAGCGUGGGGGAGCAAACAGG
rnacentral:rRNA from 1 species